UGCCUAGGAAUCUGCCUGGUAGUGGGGGAUAACGUUCGGAAACGGACGCUAAUACCGCAUACGUCCUACGGGAGAAAGCAGGGGACCUUCGGGCCUUGCGCUAUCAGAUGAGCCUAGGUCGGAUUAGCUAGUUGGUGAGGUAAUGGCUCACCAAGGCGACGAUCCGUAACUGGUCUGAGAGGAUGAUCAGUCACACUGGAACUGAGACACGGUCCAGACUCCUACGGGAGGCAGCAGUGGGGAAUAUUGGACAAUGGGCGAAAGCCUGAUCCAGCCAUGCCGCGUGUGUGAAGAAGGUCUUCGGAUUGUAAAGCACUUUAAGUUGGGAGGAAGGGUUGUAGAUUAAUACUCUGCAAUUUUGACGUUACCGACAGAAUAAGCACCGGCUAACUCUGUGCCAGCAGCCGCGGUAAUACAGAGGGUGCAAGCGUUAAUCGGAAUUACUGGGCGUAAAGCGCGCGUAGGUGGUUUGUU
rnacentral:rRNA from 1 species